GCCGGGGUGGCGGAACUGGCAGACGCACAGGACUUAAAAUCCUGCGCUUGGUACCGAUCGUACCGGUUCGAUUCCGGUCCUCGGCC
rnacentral:tRNA from 1 species